CCUACGGGAGGCAGCAGUGGGGAAUAUUGGACAAUGGGCGAAAGCCUGAUCCAGCCAUGCCGCGUGUGUGAAGAAGGUCUUCGGAUUGUAAAGCACUUUAAGUUGGGAGGAAGGGCAGUAAGUUAAUACCUUGCUGUUUUGACGUUACCGACAGAAUAAGCACCGGCUAACUUCGUGCCAGCAGCCGCGGUAAUA
rnacentral:rRNA from 1 species